AGAUGGUGCUCAUCUUCUCAUUAUCGCCGCGUACCCUCUAGAAGACACUAAUCUCUGGGACUGCGAAACCGGACGAAAAUUGAAUUUUUUUCACCAUGAGAGCUAAGUGGAAGAAGAAGCGCAUGAGGCGUUUGAAGAGGAAGAGAAGAAAGAUGAGACAAAGAUCUAAGUAGACUAAUUUUCUUUAGACUUAGCGAUCAGAUCUCUCUUUGUCUUCAGAUGACAUACUUGUUUGAUGGGUACUUUGUUUUGUUAAAGGAUUUAAGUUCAUUGUAAUAUUUU